UGGCGCCGCGGCCGGCAGCGCCCACCCCAGAGCCCGGCACCCGACUUACUGCUCGCAGGGCCGCCUGCAGCUUGUGCAGCCAGUGCCUCAGCCUGCCCGAGGGCUGGUGCGAGGGAUCCACCUGCGGGGAGAGCGGCUGGGUCUACGGCGUUCCAUUUGCGGUGGAAGAGCCUGGUGUUGCAUUUGUGGUUGUUCACCUGCAGGCAUAAACCAAGAGAGAGACUGAAAAACUCUCGUUGCGACUUCUGGCUAUGUUGUACAACCCCGACCAGCUUUGAGGGGUCUGAAACCAGGAUGAAAUUUGGCCCAGCAUCCUUCACGUCCCCAAACACCCUUGGAAAACAUCUUCCCCAUCCCCAACCUGCUGCAGAAAACAUGCACCUUGUCACUCAGGUCUUGAAUUCAGCAUCCCCUCUGCCUUGGCCCCUGCCAGCCCACAGCCCCCUGUUGCCAAUAGUACUCACAAACUCUUGUCUCAUCAUGUCCACAGCCUUCUGCUCCUCGUGUGCAAUGUUCUGGUACUUGGACAGCCUGCAGCCCUUCCUCAGGGUGUCAUGGGGAAAGGCAGCCCCCAGGCUGACCCCCAGCACCAGCACGAGCAGCAGGGCGAGGCUGAGGCGCAGCAUUUUGGCAGCGAGAGCUUGACAGUCGGCGAUGGGUUACGAUGGGGUGAGGAGGCUGCGGUGCAAGGUGCCACAGAAGAUGAACCAGAGCAGGACUCCAGGCAGGAUUCACCAAAUCUCAGAUGCAGAGGGGCCUGACAGGUGCCACGGGUGCCUUGUUCAGAUCUGCAGAGCUGGUGACUGUCCCAGGGAGAUGCUUUGCCUGGCUCCAUCUCCACCUUUUUAUCCCUGCCUGGUGCUUUCAUAUUCGUAGGAAAACCCAGGGCUGGUAGAGCUGGAAACAAGAAAAUGAAAGUGGUGCAGGGAAUCUCCGCUCUGUUACCUGCCCGGCUGCCUCCAGCCCUGCUGCCUGCUCCGCCUCAGCCCGGGAUGCCGAGGAUGCUGGGGCUGGGGGGGGAAUGCUGCUGCCAGGUUGUGGCUGGCAAGUGAGGGGGACACCCUACCCCAUGCUGAAAGCUGUAGGAGACACCUGGGGACAGCAGGUUCACGAGUGACAGGAGGGUUUUGGUGCCUCCUGAGUGGCAGCAGGAGUUCAGGCCUCAGUUUCCCUGUGUGGCAGGGAGGGGGCAUAAGCCGCAGCCAGGAGUGGGCACUGCACAGCUUUUGUGAGCUUUUAUGGCCGUGUUAUCCUGAGGGACCAGGCUCACCCCCAAAGCAGGGGGAAAAGGUGAAAGCAGAAGCACUUCCACCUGAAGUUUUCCAGGUGGGACACAGAGCUGUGGAGGGAGAUGAAGAUGAGCAGGGCUGCCACCCUACAAGCCACUGGAGCUGGCUGGGGUUUCCUCCCUGUUCAGCCUGGAGACACAAAUAGGGUGUAUUGACAUCCCUCUGCUGAAGCUGGAAUGGAACCUCUCAGCAAAUUGUCCUCCUCUCAAGGGAACCUCCUGUGGUCACUGCUGUGCUUUUAGUCUUGUGCUUUCAUUAAGCAUUAAAUACAAAAAAUUAGGGCAAUACCUGGAUCUAAGAAGCCAAGACAGUAAGAAAGUAGAAGGCAUAAAUGUACUUUGCAGGGCCUUGCACAGUGGCCACAGAACACUCCAGGAGGCCCCAAUUUUGAUGUCGAUAUUUGGAAAUAAGUGCUGAUUUCAGAGUCCAAGAAAAGAAGUUCUUGUGGAAGCAUGUGUAAAGGUACACACCUGUGGCUGAGCAGAGUGGCAGGGAUGUGGUCAUGGAGGUGGCUGGGACCUCUCGACAUCAUCCAGCCCAACCUGGCUGGCCUGGCAGGAUCAGCUGGCACGGGCUGCCCAGGACAGUGACCAGCUUUGAGCAUCUCCAAGGAUGGAGUGGGCACUUCACAGCCUCUCUGUUUUUCUUGUGUUCAGAUGGACUUUCCCCAGUUCAGCUUGUGCUGUGCUGUCACACCACCAUGAGCCCCUGAGCCUCCUCCCUCAGCCUUUCCUCAUGGGAGAGAUGUUCCUGUCCAUCAUCUUCAUGACCUUGAUUGGACUCCCUCCAGUCUCUGCCAUGUCUCUCUCCCACUGAGGAGCCCAAAACUGGACCCAGCACUUCAGGGGUGGCCUCACCAGCACUGAGGGAAGGGAGGGGAAUCAUCUUCCUUGGUCUUCUGGAAACACUCCUCCCAGCGCAGCCCUGGACACCAUCCACCUGCUUUCCCACCAGGACACUUUCCUGGCUCAUGUUCAACCUGGUGCCCACCAGAACCCCCAGGUCCUUUUCUGCCCCGCUUGUUUCUCUCUGGGCAGCCCCAGCAUGUGCUGGUGCCUGGGGCUGUUCCUCCUCAGGUGCAGGACUUUGCCCUUCCCUUUGCUCCUACCAGAGGCUCCUACCAGCCCACUGCUCCAGCUUGUUGAGUCCCUGUGGACAGCAGCACAGUCCCCUGCUGGGUCACCCACUUCUCCCCGUUUGGUGUCACCACUGAACUUGGUACCACAAGGGUCCCCUGGGCCUCAUCACCCACAUCAUUCAUAAAGAAAUCGAGCAGGACCAGGUGGUGACUCACAGGGUCCAUCCAGCCCUUCUUGAGCUCUUCUCUUGCUCCAGCAGCAUCCCAGAGGGCUCAGAUCUUUCCUGGAAAACCAUGGUGGAGAUGAAGAAUGGGAGGGGCCAGCAUGGGCUGGACAGUGGCUUGUCCCAUUUUAUCCAAACUGGAUGCAGAGACAGCUUGGAGAAGAGCUGGGACAGCAAAACGUGGUGCUAAAGCCCAGAGCGUGGUGGGCACAGGUUUUCCAGUCAUGGAUGUGGCCACAGGACCAGGCUACCACCCAGGCUGUGGGGUGGUCAGUAAUCAAAAGCCUGAGCCCUGGUGUGGGCUGGGGUCUCUUGCCUGCCCUUUUGGUGGACAGGACAAUGGCUCUGCCUUUUCUUUCUCUCCCAUUAAAGAAACCCACUGGAGAUACAUUUUUAUUCAACACAAGAAGAUUAAUGAUCAAUGUAACUGUGAAAUACAAGUCCAAACCUGCAUAAAAAAGUACACUUCUGUCACCCAAACAGGCACAGCUCAGCUGGAAUAGAGGGUACCUUAGCAGAAAAUCCCAAGAGAUGUAAAAUAAAAGUGGCCCCCAGUGAGAAAGGGGUGAUCCACCACCAACCACGGUCCCACACCACCGAUCCCUGCCAAGACACUUUCGGGUCACCCAUCAGGUCACAGAGCAGCAUCACAUCGUCGUGGGACAGCUUUGGCUCCUGUUUCCCAUCGCUGUGGCUUUUCUCUCCCAGAUGUCAUUUCUGUUUGGAGAAGUAAAGCAAAACCUCAUCUCUUCGCACAUGCAAAACGAAAUUCAGAGGCGUCAAAGAAAAGCUAAAGCUGUGGGGACGAAGUCAGGCCGUGGGCACAGCCCCCAGUGCUCACGGCAGCUGGGAUGGAGGGAUGAGGAUCUCUCCUGGGCACCUUGCUCAGAUCUUUGUGGCACCCCCAGCCAGAGCUGAGCCCCCAGGGGCCUGCCUGAGCAGCAGCGAGGGGUUUUCUUAAUGAGAUGGGGCAUUGCCAUGCUGGGCUUUGGUGCGUCUUGCCCAGCAAUGUCCCACUCCACCACUGCCCAGCCAGCAAAGCUGGGCUGCAUUGGCCACAGCUCCUCCAAACCGUGCCAGUGCCAGCUCCUGCCCUGGCAGUGGAGAGUUCCCCAAAGCCAGCACAGGCUGCGGACAUCACACUGCACCCAACAGAGUCUGCAGGGCACUGGGAACAUCACACUGCACCCAACAGAGUCUGCAGGGCACUGGGGACAUCACACUGCACCCAACAGAGUCUGCAGGGCACUGGGGACAUCACACUGCACCCAACAGAGUCUGCAGGGCACUGGGGACCCAGCACAAUCAUCACUGCCGGUGGUGCUGUGCCAGGAGAGCAGCACAGAUGGGGACGAUGGAGUCGCUUCCUUGGGUUCACCCAGCCUGAAGGCUGGAACCACUCAAGCUUGCUUGGAGGCAGAAAUUCCAGGUGUGUGGGAUUUCCAGGUGCGAGAACAAAAGUGAAACCUGACUGUGGACAGGGCUGGCGUCAGCAGCGGGUGAGGCAAUGGCUGUGUGGUGACUCACGGGUUCCUGCACAGCACAGGCGUGGGAAAGCCGCUCGCCGUGGCACUGGAGUGGGUAAGGAUGAGCCCAGAUGGCUCCUGACCCCAGUGGGCUUGUCUGGGAGGAAGUGACUCCUGCUGAACCGACUAAAGUCUGGGUAGAGAAGACAGAAAGAACAGAAAGCGUGCCCCCAAAAAGCCAGGUUUAAAAAUAAACCC